rnacentral:tRNA from 2 species
ACAUCGUUGGUGAAACGGUAUCAUGCAUCGUUGCCAUUUGUCAGCUAAUCUCGAUGCGGCAGGGGUUCGACUCCCCUACGAUGUA